rnacentral:rRNA from 1 species
GGUCGGUUCGAUGUGCUACUGUGGGACAACGUGUGGACAGGAGGUCUGUAGGUAAGCAGACUGGCGAGGGCCGAAUGCAACCGCGUUAGAAAGCCAUUAGCAGCAGUUCAGGACGACAAUCGCACAGUUAACUACCAACUUAGACCUGGUGCGGACAGGGGGAAUCUGACUGUCUAAUUAAAACAUAGCAUUGCGAUGAAGCCAAAGAAAAGAGAAGUGGUGUUGAGCGCACAAUAAUGUGAUUUCCCCAGUGCUCUGAAUGUCAAAGUGAACAAAUUCAACCAAGCGCGGGUAAACGGCGGGAGUAACUAUGACUCUCUUAAGGUAGCCAAAUGCCUCGUCAUCUAAUUAGUGACGCGCAUGAAUGGAUCAACGAGAUUCCCACUGUGCCUAUCUACCAUCUAGCGAAACCACAGCCAACGGAACGGGCUUGGCAGCAUCAGCGGGGAAAGAAGACCCUGGUUAGCUUGUCUCUAGGUUGACAUUGUGAAAAGACUGAGGAGGUGUAGCAUAAGCGGGG